AUGUCAUUGGUGUGUGGUGUGUGUAUCGUGUUAUGUGUGUCGUGUUUUGUGUGUGGUGUUUUCUGGUGUCUGGUGUUUGUGGGUGGUGUGUAUAUAUCAUGUGUGGUGUGUGGUGUGUGGUGUGUGUGUCAUGUGUUUUGUGGUGUGUGCUGUGUGUGUAUGGUGUGUGUUGUGUGGUGUUUUGUGGAGUGUGGUGUUUGUGUGUGUGUAUGUAUCAUGUGGUGGUGUGUAUGGUGUGUCAUGUGUUUUGCAUUGUGUGGUGUGUAUAGUGUGUGUAUGCGGUAUGGUGGGUAUGAUGUGUUUGUGGUAUGUGGUAUUUGUGUCGUGUGUUGUGUCUGUGUUGUGUGUGGUGUUUGUGUGUGGUGUGUAUGUAUCGUGUGUGGUGGUGUGUAUAGUGUAUGUGGUAUAGUGAGUAUGGUGUGUUUGUGGCAUGUGGUGUUUGUAUGGUGUGUGUUGUGUGUGGUGUUUUGUGGUGUGUGGUGUGUGUGUGGUGUGAAUAUAUCGUGUGGUGUGUGUGGUGUGUGUGUCAAGCAUUUACUGGUGUGUGUGUGCUGUGUGUGUAUGGGGAGUGUGUGGUGUUUUGUGUGGUGUGUGUGUCAAGCAUUUACUGGUGUGUGUGUGCUGUGUGUGUAUGGGGUGUGUAUGGUGUUUUGUGGUGUAUGCUGUGUGUGUAUGGUGUGUGUUGUGUGUGUAUGGGGUGUGUAUGGUGUUUUGUGGUGUAUGCUGUGUGUGUAUGGUGUGUGUUGUGUGUGUGUGGUGUUUUGUGGUGUUUGUGUGUGGUAUGUAUAUAUCAUGUGUGGUGUUGUGUGUGAUGUGUGUGUCAUGCAUUUACUGGUGUGUGCUGUGUGUAUGGUGUGUGUUGUGCGUGUGUGGUGUUUUGUGGUGUGUGGUGUGUGUGGUGUGUGUGUCAUGUGUUUUGUGGUGUGCUGUGUAUGGUGUGUUAGUGCGUGUGUGGUGUUUUGUGGUGUGUGGUAUUUGUGUGUGGCGUGUAUAUAUCAUGUGUGGUAUUUGUGGUGUGUGUGUGGUGUUUUGUGGUGUGUGGUAUGUAUAUAUCAUGUAUGGUGUUGUGUGUUGUGUGUGUGGUGUGUGCUGUGUUUGUAUGGUGUGUGUUGUNNNNNNNNNNNNNNNNNNNNNNNNNNNNNNNNNNNNNNNNNNNNNNNNNNNNNNNNNNNNNNNNNNNNNNNNNNNNNNNNNNNNNNNNNNNNNNNNNNNNGAAGAACGAGGAGGGGCUGCACGAGCCAAUGGAAGCCGGAGUUUUUAAAGAAAUCCGGCGCCCCAGCCAAUGGCGGGGCGAGGGCGGGGCGAGCCGUUUCCUGGCUCCGCCCCCAGCAGUACCUAGGAAGGUCACCCGCCGGCCCCGAGCAGGGUUCCUGGGGGUGUGGGAGUGCGGGAGGUGACCUCCGCUUGUCCCGCGGCCUCGAGGUGACACACGCCGCCAGUCUGCGUCCCCGGCUGUCUGCGCAUCCCAUCGCGCACGUGGCCGGGCGCGCGGGGAGGUAGCGCCGGCUCCUCUGGAAGCCCUCCCAGCGGCAGAGCCCCCAGCCUCGCAGCCCCGGCGGGGGCCGAGAGCGCACCUGGCUGGCGAUGCUUCCUCCUCACCCUGGGCUCUGACCUCACGCCCGCAGCCCGAGGGCCCUCCCUGGUACCUCUGCCCUGCUGGCCGGUGCCUGGAGUGGCCCCGCCCGACUCCUGCCGUCUGACACGGUCCUGGCUGCCCUCCGGGCUCUCCAGCAGCUGCUGUCCACCUCCACCAGGGAGCCCACCUUGAUUGCUGCGACAGCCGCACUCAAAGGCUGAACAGCCGGGGUACACAUUGCCCUGGUCUGGACUUCACCCUGUCGUGCCCCUUCCCUGCUCUCUGUACAGAAGUCUGACUCACCUGUGUGGUUUGGUGCAAACCCACAGAUUGCCAACAUUGGUCCAAAGUCACCGGCCUGAGAGCAGCUCAGGGUUCCAGGACGUGAGUGGCCACCCGCCAGCCCCAGGGCUAGUGGGUUGAGAGUUGGGGGCCAGAGGGCCCAGGGGCUGGUCCUCUUGGCACUGCCAGGCGUUCUCAGUGGCCCUCAGGGGUCUAAGUAUUGUGGCAGACAUCCCCGGGCGGUCUGGUGUGACCGUCAGCGUGCACACACACUUGCCUCGGAGCUUCCAGCCUCACCCAAGUCUGACCUCUCAUCUCUAUACAGUCACCAUCGCUGUCCCUGCGCUGACCACUCACACACCACUCCCCUGUUCAGCCCUUCUGAGGCUGUGGCUCUCGGGACUGGCCCAGGCCCACCUGCCAUCUGGGCGCCCUCUGGGGCUCGCUUCGUCGCCCGCUGCCUGGGCCCAUGCCUGUGCUCCUGGGGGCUCCUCUCUUGCCUGGCUCAUCUCUUCCUGUCCCUUGGGUCCUGAGGAUCAAAGCCAACCCGACAUUGUUUGUCCCCAGGCCCCUCCCCCUCCUGCCGCUGCUUCCUAGAGCUCUGUCCAGUUCUCUCCCGCAGUACGAGGGCAGGGUUGGGGCUGGUGGGUUAGCCUUCCCCCACCCACCAUGCACCCAGCACAGGGCUCCCCCGAGAUCAGAUCCCUGGUAGGAUGACACCCCAAGCCUACCCCUCCAGCAGUAUCCACACAGCACCUGCGAAGGAGGAGGGGCUGCUGCCCACGUGGGUCCUCCUGGGGACCUACCUGAGGGUCCAGUGGGGCCGCCCUCUUCUGUGCUGGACACGCAGCAGAGGUGGGCAGAGAUGCUGGAGAGCACGGUAGGUCUAGGGGGUGACCACUACAGUUGAGUUCAUGUCAGUCUGGAGGGGCGAGGGUCCUCAGCCUGACAUGUCAGGCUAGUCUUCCUUGAGUCUGACAUGUCAGGCUCCAGGCCAGUCUUCCCUGAGUCAUCCUGGCCGUAGAAGACCAGGCUCUGGCGGGCAGGCACCCCACCCUGGCUCUCCCUAGGCCCCGGGUCUUGCUCUGAAACCCUCAAGUGUCCCUUAACUAAGAGCCAGGAGGACUUGCUCCUUCAGAAAGCAUGGUGUGCCUGUCCUCCACGGCCCUCCUCCCGCUCACUCCAGGUGUGCUGGAGAUUCCUCCAGGCCUCCAGAUGGGAUUCCUGCCACACAGGCCUCUGUGAAAGCCUCCGGAGGGCUCCUGCUUGGGGGUCCAGCAGCCUGGCCCUGGAGUGGAGGGCAGGGCAGGGCCGGAGGCAGCCCUUUCCCUAAAGUGUGACAUCUUUGUAACCACGUCUGUCCAGACACUGGUGUAUGUUGUAGAUUUACUGUUGUACGUGCUUGUGUGUGCAGCGAGGACCCUUGCACUGACGGUGAGCUCCGUGCGGGGUCAGCGUGGACCCCAGCCCUUCCCUCUCCCCCGGGACUGUUUGACAUUGAGGCCUCUUUUAGACUGUGUCUGGCCCAGGCCACCACAUCUGAUCUAGUCGGAGUACUGGGGUCCCCAGUAACCCCAGAUAACCCUGCUCACCUUGUCGUGCCCCUCCCCUGCCAUUGGGCACAGCCCAGCCUGUUCCUCAGCUUGGCAAACGGAUAUGGGUCAUCCCAGUUGUGGAGCAUCUGCGCUCUGCAUACGGGGCAAGAAAAAUCUGAGAGGCCUCAGGGCCUCUCACCCUCUGCCCUGGGCCACCCCUUUCCCACAGGUCCCAUCAACACCCCACCCCCCAGCCAAGUCCCCAGCAGUGCAGGACACCAGCCCUGCCUGUUUUUUCCUGGUUCAUGGAUGGCCCAUCCAGUGGGCCCCAUGGGCAGGCCCAGCCCAUGGGCCAGAGCUGGGGCCGCUCCUGCAGAUAGGAGGUGAGCCAGGAGGUGGGCUUGGCGGGGUCUUGGUGCGGGGGCCGCUCCACCUGGGUACUGACUGCAGAGGGCCCAGCCCAGCCCCUUCCUGUGUCCUCCCACCCCCCACCCCACCUGAAGCUCAGGCCAGCAUGGCAUGGGUGCCUCCUUCCCUUGGGCUAUCCUGCUGAGAGGGGCAGCCUUGCUCCAGGGCCAGGGCCUCUGCCCGUCCUUGGAGCAGGUGUUUCCCAGGGCAGGGACAGGGGAGUGGAGCAGAGCUUGUCAGAGGGUCUGCACACCCCAGUCCCCAGCCCAGCCCCUGAGCCAUCCCAUCCCGACUGCUUGACCUGGAAACAGCCGGCCCUGCUCCGCAGUGGACACGGCGAGUCCCCCCAGGUCCCCUGACCUGCUGGAAGGAGGGUCACGCUCUUGCCAUGGUGACCCAAGCCAGGCUGGCCUGCCUGGAUUCGGGAGGAUGAGGAGGUGGAAUGGAAGGUGGCUGGGGCCACUUACAGUCUCCCACACACACACGCAUGCUGACACUGCUCACACGCACCAAUUCACAAACACUCACACACAGAAUCACACUUAUAGACACCCCCUCAAAGCUGGGGCAUUGCAGAGGGGAGUGUUAACAGGGUUCAUGCUCCACGGGCACCCCCAUUCCUGCUCCCCAGGCUGUGUCCCCACUGUCCUGCCUCCCGCCGGCCCAUCCCUCCCCUCUUCCCUCCUUCCCUGGGGAUCCUGUCCACCCCCAGUUCCCAAGCCAAUGACCAAGGCCUCCUUAAUCAGCCUGUUUCCAGUUGCCCCGUGCCUAUCCCACAGGGUUGCCCGGCCUUGUCCUGCCUGUAUGUGAUGCCCUUCCAACCCAGGCCAUGCCUGAGGAGGGGGCGUCCCCUCACCUGCCCCCAAGCCCUUACCGAGGCCUAUCCCAUUCCCAAACCUCCCUCCUGCUGAUCCACCUGCCCACUCCCACCCUCAUCCCAGGCCCCAGUGUGAGCCCCCUUGGCCACCCUGGUCUUUUCCCCACUGUGAGCCCCUCACAGUCCUGCCUUGGACCCUUUGUGGCUCCCCUGGGCCACCAGAGUACAGGCCCUCCUCCCCAGCCCAUGGGCCUGGCCCCCACCAGCACCUGCUGCCACCCAGAAUCAAUGUCCCAGUACGGCCGCCCCAGGCCCUGGGCUGGAGCUCUGCGUCAUCUCCCCGCAGACCGGACUCCCCCAGCUGUUCCCAGCUUGGGAGGGGCACCUGCUGCACCUCGUCUUCCAGCCCACACAGGCUGCAGCGGCCAAGACUGGGUGCUCCCAGGGCAGUGGCGGGGGCAGGCGAUGCCUGUUGUGGGGAGAGGCCCUUUCCCCUCUGGCCUCCACUCUCGGUCGUCGCAGCCUCUCACCCGCUGCAGAUAGGAGCCAGCAGAGCUGUGCCAGGAUUUUGCAACGUUUCACCAAAGGCAUCCCAGGGUUGGGCCUGGGGUGGAGUGGGGCGCCUAGUCAGUGGGAGCUGGGGGUGUGGGCGGCCUGCAUGAACUCCGGCCCAGCCGCUUUGGCUGCCUCUUCCAGCCUCUGUCCCUGCCUGGAGGACACCAGUUUUACCCCUCAGCUGAGGCCUGGCCUGUGUUAGAGAGGCAGCUGUUCCCACCAGGUUACCCCCACCUGCUACCAGCACAGAC
ensembl:lincRNA